CCUACGGGAGGCAGCAGUGGGGAAUAUUGCACAAUGGGCGCAAGCCUGAUGCAGCGACGCCGCGUGAGGGAUGACGGCCUUCGGGUUGUAAACCUCUUUCACCAGGGACGAAGCGCAAGUGACGGUACCUGGAGAAGAAGCACCGGCCAACUACGUGCCAGCAGCCGCGGUAAUACGUAGGGUGCGAGCGUUGUCCGGAAUUACUGGGCGUAAAGAGCUCGUAGGUGGUUUGUCGCGUUGUUCGUGAAAACUCACAGCUUAACUGUGGGCGUGCGGGCGAUACGGGCAGACUAGAGUACUGCAGGGGAGACUGGAAUUCCUGGUGUAGCGGUGGAAUGCGCAGAUAUCAGGAGGAACACCGGUGGCGAAGGCGGGUCUCUGGGCAGUAACUGACGCUGAGGAGCGAAAGCGUGGGGAGCGAACAGGAUUAGAUACCCUGGUAGUCCACGCCGUAAACGGUGGGUACUAGGUGUGGGUUCCUUCCUUGGGAUCCGUGCCGUAGCUAACGCAUUAAGUACCCCGCCUGGGGAGUACGGCCGCNAGGCUAAAACUCAAAGGAAUUGACGG
rnacentral:rRNA from 1 species